rnacentral:rRNA from 1 species
AUUGAACGCUGGCGGCAUGCCUUACACAUGCAAGUCGAACGGCAGCAUAGAGGAGCUUGCUCCUCUGAUGGCGAGUGGCGAACGGGUGAGUAAAGCAUCGGAACGUACCGUGUAGUGGGGGAUAACGUAGCGAAAGUUACGCUAAUACCGCAUACGCACUGAGGUGGAAAGCAGGGGAUCGCAAGACCUUGCGCUAUACGAGCGGCCGAUGUCAGAUUAGCUAGUUGGUAGGGUAAAGGCCUACCAAGGCGACGAUCUGUAGCGGGUCUGAGAGGAUGAUCCGCCACACUGGGACUGAGACACGGCCCAGACUCCUACGGGAGGCAGCAGUGGGGAAUUUUGGACAAUGGGCGCAAGCCUGAUCCAGCAAUGCCGCGUGCAGGAAGAAGGCCUUCGGGUUGUAAACUGCUUUGUACGGUAACGAAAAGGUCUAGGUUAAUACCCUGGGCUCAUGACGGUACCGUAAGAAUAAG